rnacentral:rRNA from 1 species
AUGAACGCUGGCGGCGUGCUUAACACAUGCCAGUCGAACGGAAAGGCCCAAGCUUGCUUGGGUACUCGAGUGGCGAACGGGUGAGUAACACGUGGGUGAUCUGCCCUGCACUUCGGGAUAAGCCUGGGAAACUGGGUCUAAUACCGGAUAGGACGAUGGUUUGGAUGCCAUUGUGGAAAGUUUUUUCGGUGUGGGAUGAGCUCGCGGCCUAUCAGCUUGUUGGUGGGGUAAUGGCCUACCAAGGCGUCGACGGGUAGCCGGCCUGAGAGGGUGUACGGCCACAUUGGGACGGAGAUACGGCCCAGACUCCUACGGGAGGCAGCAGUGGGGAAUAUUGCACAAUGGGCGCAAGCCUGAUGCAGCGACGCCGCGUGGGGGAUGACGGCCUUCGGGUUGUAAACUCCUUUCGCUAGGGACGAAGCGUUUUUGUGACGGUACCUGGAGAAGAAGCACCGGCUAACUACGUG